rnacentral:lncRNA from 1 species
ACCUCAGGAGCUCCCCGGGGCCCAGCUGGCACGGGCGCCGGUGGAGGGACGCUGGAGCGGCCCCACGGCGGGCAGCGGCCCCGAGGCAAGGCCGGCCGCACGCGCCCCUCGCAGCCUCGCCGGCCCCGAGGCUCCUCCCCGAGCUUCCGGAGCUCUCCCGAGCAGGAGGUCCCCGCCCCCGAACCCCGAGACCCCGUCGCGCCGGCGCCCCGCCCCCGGCCCGCCCCGCCGGCCGCACCUGCCCGCGCGCACACGCCCCCCGCACGCCGGCCGCCACGCGCGCCGGGCCUCGGGCCGCCCCGCCCGCCCUGCCCCUGCGCCGCCGCCGCCGCCGCCGCCCCACCCCCACCCCCACCCCGGCACGCGCCCGCCGCCGCUCCCCCGCACCGCCCUCCUCGCCGCGGGCCGCCUCCGCCGCCGCCCAGCCGCCGGGCCCGCCGGGCGCGGGAGCCGAGCAGAGCCCGCACCGCGGCGCCAGGGUGCGCGGGCCGCCGCCGCCGCGCUCGUUGGCUGCGCUCAGGCUCCGGCGAGCGCUGUCUCCGCCUCCUCUUCCUGCGACCUCCUCCGUCCGCGGCAGCCUCCGCGCGCUCCCCGGGAGCGCCCCUACGCCCCGCCCGCGGCGACCAGGCCUGGGGGACCCGGGGCUCCGCGGCGCCCCGCCCGGCCAGCCCCCCGGCCCGCACAUGGUCUGAGCCCCGCGGCCAGAGCUGCGCCCUGACGCGAGGGACCGCGGCGUUCCCGGCCCGGGGCCGCGGGGACCUCCUGGUGCCGACGCUCUCGCAGUAUUUUAGGGUGGGGCGGGGAGGGCCCUGGGUUCCGGGGAGUGGGGGUGGGCGGGGAGGAGGGCCCGGGGGGAGCCGGACUCCGCCAGGGAGCCGGGGAGACACUAUGGGGAAGGACCAGGAGCUGCUGGAGGCCGCCCGCACUGGAAAUGUGGCUCUGGUGGAGAAACUCCUGUCUGGCAGGAAAGGAGGGAUCCUGGGCGGCGGAUCCGGACCCUUGCCCCUGUCUAAUCUGCUAAGUGACUUUGGUGAAUAGAAGAUUUAAGGAAAAGAUGAAUUGGGAACUGUAAGGUUUGGCUUUUAAGUUACUGAGAGAUUACUGGUGCCACUGACUUAAGUAGGAAUGUUAGGUUCUUUCUUUUCCUCUUCUUUAAGAAGGAUUACUGAACAUAUGUGUUUAUUAUCUUCCUUGAACCACCUUUGCAAGACGAAAUAAAAAAAAAAUUAGUCGUGAUGCUGGAAAUCAGGAAGAAUGGCCUAAGAAAACCAUAAUUCCCUUAUCUGUAAAAUCAUAGGCUUAGAUUAGGUGAUUGCUAUAUUUUUCAGAUUUCUAAACUUCCAGUAAUUAUAUAGGCUAACUUACAAAUUCACAUCUUCUUACGGUAAUUUAUUUCACAGAAGAGACCUGGGAGAGCAAAUAUUAGAAUCAUAUUUUUGACAAUUAAUUUUUUGACAAAUUACUCUUUUUUUUAAAACACAAUUUACUCUUAACACAAAUUACAUUUUUGGGAAAAGGCAUUGGAAUAAGGCAGUAGUGUUGAAAACGUGAAGAAAAAAAGUCACCAUUUAAAAUGUGAGCUACAUAAAUUACUUUACUACUUCGGACAGCAAAUAAAUCAAUGCAGCUUAUCUUAAUAUAAUAAAUUUUGGCUCAAAUAUGAUGAAAAUUGAGUAUUGGGGAAAGGUAGCAGGACACAGUUAAUUCUGAUAAAAAUGAGGAAGAGUUAGGUGAGCAAAAAAAAAAAAAUCUUCCUCCAAGUUCUAUAUGUGUUUUUUUUUUCUAAGAUUUUUAAAAUUUAUUUAUUCAUGAGAGACACAGAGAGAGAGAGAGAGAGAGAGGCAGAGACACAGGCAGAGGGAAAAACAGGGGGAUCCCUGGGUGGCGCAGUGGUUUAGCGCCUGCCUUUGGCCCAGGGCGCGAUCCUGGAGACCCAGGAUCGAAUCCCACGUCGGGCUCCCGGUGCAUGGAGCCUGCUUCUCCCUCUGCCUGUGUCUCUGCCCCCCCCCCCUCUCUCUGUGUGACUAUCAUAAAUAAAUAAAAAUUAAAAAAAAAAAAAAACAGGCUCCCUGCAGGGAGCCCGAUGUGGGACUCCAUCCUAGGACCUCGAGAUCACGCCCUGAGCCGAAGGCAAAUGCUCAGCCUCUGAGCCACCCAGGCAUCCCAGCAUUAGGUGUUUAUACAGCAAAGUUUUCUUGUCCUGUCAAAACUCCAGUUUUGGGACACGAUCUUUCCAUUCCUAAGCCACUCUACUUUAGAUCUGAAUUUUGUAGACCAUCUCCUGGGAAGAGCCUGGAUUAUUAGUUAUCUCUGUCUAGAAGGAAGGCUGGGCACAUUGAUUUAUGGCUCUAACAGGAAUGAAGACAAUAAGGAAGAGGGAGUUCUCUAAAAUGAAAUGGAGUGCUGUUACCAAAAGAAGGAAGAAAUGAAUUAUAGGCAACCGGCUCCCCACGAAUGUUUACUAUAUAGUCCAAGUUGAGGAAUAUGUCUAAGCAAAGGAACUCCUACUUUAGAUGGAAUAAAGACC